GACUGGGAUAACUUCGGGAAACCGGAGCUAAUACCGGAUAAUAUUUUGAACCGCAUGGUUCAAAAGUGAAAGACGGUCUUGCUGUCACUUAUAGAUGGAUCCGCGCUGCAUUAGCUAGUUGGUAAGGUAACGGCUUACCAAGGCAACGAUGCAUAGCCGACCUGAGAGGGUGAUCGGCCACACUGGAACUGAGACACGGUCCAGACUCCUACGGGAGGCAGCAGUAGGGAAUCUUCCGCAAUGGGCGAAAGCCUGACGGAGCAACGCCGCGUGAGUGAUGAAGGUCUUCGGAUCGUAAAACUCUGUUAUUAGGGAAGAACAUAUGUGUAAGUAACUGUGCACAUCUUGACGGUACCUAAUCAGAAAGCCACGGCUAACUACGUGCCAGCAGCCGCGGUAAUACGUAGGUGGCAAGCGUUAUCCGGAAUUAUUGGGCGUAAAGCGCGCGUAGGCGGUUUUUUAAGUCUGAUGUGAAAGCCCACGGCUCAACCGUGGAGGGUCAUUGGAAACUGGAAAACUUGAGUGCAGAAGAGGAAAGUGGAAUUCCAUGUGUAGCGGUGAAAUGCGCAGAGAUAUGGAGGAACACCAGUGGCGAAGGCGACUUUCUGGUCUGUAACUGACGCUGAUGUGCGAAAGCGUGGGGAUCAAACAGGAUUAGAUACCCUGGUAGUCCACGCCGUAAACGAUGAGUGCUAAGUGUUAGGGGGUUUCCGCCCCUUAGUGCUGCAGCUAACGCAUUAAGCACUCCGCCUGGGGAGUACGACCGCAAGGUUGAAACUCAAAGGAAUUGACGGGGACCCGCACAAGCGGUGGAGCAUGUGGUUUAAUUCGAAGCAACGCGAAGAACCUUACCAAAUCUUGACAUCCUUUGACAACUCUAGAGAUAGAGCCUUCCCCUUCGGGGGACAAAGUGACAGGUGGUGCAUGGUUGUCGUC
rnacentral:rRNA from 1 species